AGUGAACGCUGGCGGUAGGCCUAACACAUGCAAGUCGAACGGCAGCACAGUAAGAGCUUGCCCUUACGGGUGGCGAGUGGCGGACGGGUGAGGAAUACAUCGGAAUCUACUUUUUCGUGGGGGAUAACGUAGGGAAACUUACGCUAAUACCGCAUACGACCUACGGGUGAAAGCAGGGGAUCUUCGGACCUCGCGCGAUUGAAUGAGCCGAUGUCGGAUUAGCUAGUUGGCGGGGUAAAGGCCCACCAAGGCGACGAUCCGUAGCUGGUCUGAGAGGAUGAUCAGCCACACUGGAACUGAGACACGGUCCAGACUCCUACGGGAGGCAGCAGUGGGGAAUAUUGGACAAUGGGCGCAAGCCUGAUCCAGCCAUACCGCGUGGGUGAAGAAGGCCUUCGGGUUGUAAAGCCCUUUUGUUGGGAAAGAAAAGCAGCAGGUUAAUACCCCGCUGUUCUGACGGUACCCAAAGAAUAAGCACCGGCUAACUUCGUG
rnacentral:rRNA from 1 species